AGUAGAUCAGCAGGCACGAAUUUCAGAAGUACGUUUUGGGGAGCUGCCAGUACGCUUGUUUUGUAAUUUCCGACAAGUUGUCGUUAACGUCAACGGCUCGCUGCGCAGAAUCCGCGGGCACGGAUGAAAACACAACCCGACGGUGACAGCGGAUAUAAUAUGGAGUCGACGUCGUCGACGAAUCGUUAAAGCGGAAAAGAGAGUUUGCCUCGGCGUUGUCACUUCGGCAGCGACGGCGAGCGUAGACAUGCUACGACGUCAACGUUACGGCGCAAUCUACUGCCAUGGCACGCUGGCUAGAACGGAUUUUGCGGCAGCACUUGUGUUUUUAUAACGCGAAAGGUUCAUCAAGUCCAUCAGCUGAUAUUGCAAAACACACGUCGCCGACGCUCCUACGCCAUUGGCCGCGAUCAUCGACGAGAUAUUACUAGAAACUGGCGAUCUUUAUCGGACUUGCUUGAAAAAAAGAAAGUAAUUAUAUAUAUUAUUUUCGAUUAUUUCCUCGCGGUUUCUCUGGGCGUCUCGAAAAGCGCGGAAUUUUAUGUGCGAGUUUUUAAAUAUAUUUUUGUUUGUGGCAAAAUAUAUAUUGUAUAUUUAGUCUGACAUUUGAUUAAUGUCGCAAUUUGUAUAAUUUUGUUGCUUUUUUCAAUACGGCCGAUAAAAGCAUUCGUUUCACAUAUAUCUUAGAAAGAAAAAAAUAUAAAUUUACAAUAUGAGAAAGAUUUAAAAUUUAUAUUACGUAUAACAAUUCUUAGACAAAUGUAUAUCAGUAAUCCUCAAAUUUCUUGUAAACUUAUUAAUAAUAAAUUUCCGAGACAUUUAAGAACCAAAA